GGGCAACACAGGGUGAAGUGAGAAGUUCGGUUUCAACCUUGCUUCAGUGUUCUUUGGUGGUUCUUGCUAGAUUUGAAGUUGGCUCAUCCUUUAUGCUUAACCUACUAGCACUGAAUCUUUGUUGUUUUGGUUGAUCUUGUUGUAUUAUCUUGUCUCCCAUGUGUGGGCUUUAAACUCCAGGAACUUUCAUGUUGUUAGCCGGUUUAAGUUUGCGGGGUUUGUUUACCGCCGUUGUUGUAAUCUUGUUUCAGUUCAUAAUCAAAAUCCUUCUGAGGAAAAAAAGCAUAGUUGUUAGAAAAUCAGUUUACUACUCUUACAUUAGAAUAAACAUCCACUACUUUUUGGAAUGUAA
rnacentral:lncRNA from 1 species